AUUGAACGCUGGCGGCAUGCUUUACACAUGCAAGUCGAACGGUAACAGGCCUUCGGGUGCUGACGAGUGGCGAACGGGUGAGUAAUGCAUCGGAACGUACCCAGAGGUGGGGGAUAACGCAGCGAAAGCUGUGCUAAUACCGCAUGUGAUCUGAGGAUGAAAGCGGGGGACCGAGCAGCAAUGUUUGGCCUCGCGCCUUUGGAGCGGCCGAUGUCGGAUUAGCUAGUUGGUGGGGUAAAGGCCUACCAAGGCGACGAUCCGUAGCUGGUCUGAGAGGACGAGCGGCCACACUGGGACUGAGACACGGCCCAGACUCCUACGGAAGGCAGCGGUGGGGAGUUGUGGAGGAUGGUGGCAAGCCUGAUCCAGCAAGGCCGCGUGAGGGAAGAAGGCCUUCGGGUUGUAAACCGCUUUUGGCAGGAACGAAACGGUGUCCGCUAAUACCGGGCGCUAAUGACGGUACCUGCAGAAUAAGCACCGGCUAACUACGUG
rnacentral:rRNA from 1 species